CAGCAGCCGCGGUAAAACGGAGGGGGCUAGCGUUGUUCGGAAUUACUGGGCGUAAAGCGCACGUAGGCGGCUUGGUAAGUUAGGGGUGAAAGCCUGGAGCUCAACUCCAGAAUUGCCUUUAAGACUGCCGAGCUAGUAGGUGAGAGAGGUAAGUGGAAUUCCGAGUGUAGAGGUGAAAUUCGUAAAUAUUCGGAAGAACACCAGUGGCGAAGGCGGCUUACUGGCUCAUUCUAGACGCUGAGGUGCGAAAGCGUGGGGAGCAAACAGGAUUAGAUACCCCCGUAGUCCCUGUCUCUUAUAC
rnacentral:rRNA from 1 species